rnacentral:rRNA from 1 species
AAAUCGUACCCCAAACCGACACAGGUGGUCAGGUAGAGAAUACCAAGGCGCUUGAGAGAACUCGGGUGAAGGAACUAGGCAAAAUGGUGCCGUAACUUCGGGAGAAGGCACGCUGGUGUGUAGGUGAAGUCCCUGCGGAUGGAGCUGAGACCAGUCGAAGAUACCAGCUGGCUGCAACUGUUUAUUAAAAACACAGCACUGUGCAAACACGAAAGUGGACGUAUACGGUGUGACGCCUGCCCGGUGCCGGAAGGUUAAUUGAU